rnacentral:rRNA from 1 species
CAAGAAGUUCGGAGGGAAAAGGGGAAGGAGCGGGGUAGGCGGUAGUCGUCUGGCUGGAAGGAGGUGUCUCGCAACGAUCUAGACGGGGGAUGGGCCGUGUUAGGGAUACCAUCGGUUUCGGCUGGUGGGGCGGACCGAGGAGUGACGCCGGCUUCCGAUGCAGCCACUGGCCAGGUUGCUCUCCUGGCGGUCUCCGUAGUGCUCAUUCCCGGACUCGUAGUUCCGCAGAAAAAAGGGGUUGGCGGGCGGUGUUGGUAGUUUCGACACCCACGUGACGGGUCUCCGGCGCCAGCAGGUCUGAGGGGCACAGGAGAUGUAGCGGCCACUGGACUAGGAGAAGGCCCAGGGGUAGAGAAGGCUAGGACAGGGUCUUUUGGCAAAGAAAACCGGCGACCUAUCGCUGAUAAAGCAGAUGGCGCGACUGGGGUUAAACGCUCUCGAGUUCGAGGAGUGGCUGCACGUGUAGUCUUUAAAGCUUCUGACAGUCCAACCAUAAGAAGGGGCACCAAAGGUGCUGAUGUGGUAGCGGCGCGACCAACAAACAGGAGAGUGGUAGCUGUCCAAAUAUGAGGUAAACAAGGUGAGCCUCUGUAGAUCGACCUGGAGGUAGCACGGCGGACACCACCUCGGUGUCCUCCCGAAGUUAUAACAGUAGGGGUGAUUGUGCCUAGAAGUAGCGGUACUAUGAAGGUUGCAAUAGUGUUAGCCACCACUCAUGCCGUGGUACCCAACCCAGCUAGAGACCGCUCCGUAGGACAAAACACUACACGACACACUCUUCGGUUGAGAGGCACCUUAUGGUAACGGCGACGGCUACAUAGUAUAGUGUCCGCCGCUACCCUACCCUAAUAUAAAUCUGGCACGUUACCUAACGGCUCCGUAACGGAAGUAGUUACCGACAGAGUUCAAGCAGGUUGACCUGUAGUCGCCGAGAACGGAGAAUGUCAUGUAUCUGCCCCUUUGUCCCAAAGGUUGAAACGACCACAGACUGACCCGCUAGAGGAGUACCUGGUUAUUCUUCUACCUCUUAAGAAUGUUUCGAACCCCCCUACGACUUACGUGCCAGGUUCGAAGACUCCAGUGUUAGUUUUCGCUGUACCAAAGUGUUGGCUGACCUUCCGACGACGACGGUAGUCUCCUAUCACAACUCUUGGGUCUUGCUUUCCGUCGGAUGAAUGGCGUGGAACACUAGAGACUGGGGAGAGGCUCGAACCUACCACUACCGCAACAAAUGGAUUAACGGUCCCUCUUUAAUAUAGUGGUUUUCAGUACCCAGGAACGACAACUGUACUUAUCGUUCUGCGACGCUUCACAACGAGGGAAACCGUACCAUCUUCUGGGUACACUAAGACAGCACAUAACGUGAUCGUCCAGACGGAGGUUAUGAACUCAAUAGACCACCUUGACCUCUGGUACCCGAUAGAUGGCGUCCUUAUUUAAGUCGUACUUCUACAAAAAGAAUAAUUCUUUCGUACGUGGCCACGACACCCGUCAAGAGAGACCCAGAACGAAAUGUAUAAGUAAAUCAAUGAUAAAAUCUACCUUUCUGUACUAGAGGACGCAAACACUAAACACCCGUUGAACGAAUUAUACAAACUCGUUGUAUAUAAAGAGCAACAUAAAAUAACACAACCUGUACUACCGGACACAGAAGCCAGUUCAACAAAUAAUCAUGAGUUCAACCUAUAAGGAUAAUCAUGGUACAAAGUUGGCUGAACAUACCAUCAUAUACAAACUUCUUAGGUACACCAAUAAACUAGAGUAUACACUGAACUCAGACAAGUUAGCAC